UACGUAGGGUGCGAGCGUUGUCCGGAAUUAUUGGGCGUAAAGAGCUCGUAGGCGGUCUGUCGCGUCGGAUGUGAAAACCCAGGGCUUAACCCUGGGCCUGCAUUCGAUACGGGCAGACUAGAGUUCGGUAGGGGAGACUGGAAUUCCUGGUGUAGCGGUGAAAUGCGCAGAUAUCUGGAGGAACACCCGUGGUGCAGACGGCUUGCUGGACCAUGACUGACGCUGAGGCACGAAAGCGUGGGUAGCAAACAGG
rnacentral:rRNA from 1 species